AUUGAACGCUGGCGGCAUGCCUUACACAUGCAAGUCGAACGGUAACGCGGGGCAACCUGGCGACGAGUGGCGAACGGGUGAGUAACGCAUCGGAACGUGCCCAAUCGUGGGGGAUAACGUAGAGAAAUUUACGCUAAUACCGCAUGAGAUCUAAGGAUGAAAGCAGGGGAUCGCAAGACCUUGCGCGAUUGGAGCGGCUGAUGUCAGAUUAGGUAGUUGGUGGGGUAAAGGCCCACCAAGCCGACGAUCUGUAGCUGGUUUGAGAGAACGACCAGCCACACUGGGACUGAGACACGGCCCAGACUCCUACGGGAGGCAGCAGUGGGGAAUUUUGGACAAUGGGCGAAAGCCUGAUCCAGCAAUGCCGCGUGCAGGAAGAAGGCCUUCGGGUUGUAAACUGCUUUUGUACGGAACGAAAUAGCUCUGGUUAAUACCCGGAGUUGAUGACGGUACCGUAAGAAUAAGCACCGGCUAACUACGUGCCAGCCGCCGCGGUAA
rnacentral:rRNA from 1 species